rnacentral:rRNA from 1 species
GGGGAAUAUUGGACAAUGGGCGAAAGCCUGAUCCAGCCAUGCCGCGUGUGUGAAGAAGGCCUUUUGGUUGUAAAGCACUUUAAGCGAGGAGGAGGCUACCGAGAUUAAUACUCUUGGAUAGUGGACGUUACUCGCAGAAUAAGCACCGGCUAACUCUGUGCCAGCAGCCGCGGUAAUACAGAGGGUGCGAGCGUUAAUCGGAUUUACUGGGCGUAAAGCGUGCGUAGGCGGCUUUUUAAGUCGGAUGUGAAAUCCCUGAGCUUAACUUAGGAAUUGCAUUCGAUACUGGGAAGCUAGAGUAUGGGAGAGGAUGGUAGAAUUCCAGGUGUAGCGGUGAAAUGCGUAGAGAUCUGGAGGAAUACCGAUGGCGAAGGCAGCCAUCUGGCCUAAUACUGACGCUGAGGUACGAAAGCAUGGGGAGCAAACAGGAUUAGAUACCCUGGUAGUCCAUGCCGUAAACGAUGUCUACUAGCCGUUGGGGCCUUUGAGGCUUUAGUGGCGCAGCUAACGCGAUAAGUAGACCGCCUGGGGAGUACGGUCGCAAGACUAAAACUCAAAUGAAUUGACGGGGGCCCGCACAAGCGGUGGAGCAUGUGGUUUAAUUCGAUGCAACGCGAAGAACCUUACCUGGUCUUGACAUAGUAAGAACUUUCCAGAGAUGGAUUGGUGCCUUCGGGAACUUACAUACAGGUGCUGCAUGGCUGUCGUCAGCUCGUGUCGUGAGAUGUUGGGUUAAGUC